CCUGUGGAUCUUGCGCAUGGGCGCAGCCUGAUGCAGCCAUGCCGCGUGAGUGAUGAGGCCUUCGGGUUGUAACCUCUUUCGUGGGGGACGAUGGGGCCGGGGCUAGUAGCCGCCGGCCCUGGCCGUUCCGUGCCGAGAAGCGCCGGUUUCCUUCCAGCCA
rnacentral:rRNA from 1 species